rnacentral:rRNA from 1 species
GUACAAUAAGCUAAAUAAGGGCGUAUGGCGGAUGCCUAGGCUUUCAGAGGCGAUGAAGGACGCGAUAAGCUGCGAUAAGUAACGGGGAGAAGCACAUAUUUUAUGAUCCGUUAAUUUCCGAAUGGGGCAACCCGGUAUGUUGAAGACAUAUCACCCGCAAGGGGGCAAACCCGGUGAACUGAAACAUCUAAGUAACCGGAGGAAGAGAAAACAAUAGUGAUUCCGUUAGUAGUGGCGAGCGAACGCGGAUUAGCCCAAACCAAUACUGUUACGGCAGUAUUGGGGUUGUAGGGCUGCGACAUUAG